rnacentral:rRNA from 1 species
CCUACGGGUGACUGCAGUGGGGAAUAUUGCACAAUGGGGGAAACCCUGAUGCAGCGACGCCGCGUGAGUGAAGAAGUAAUUCGUUAUGUAAAGCUCUAUCAGCAGGGAAGAAAAUGACGGUACCUGAGUAAGAAGCCCCGGCUAACUACGUGCCAGCAGCCGCGGUAAUACGGAGGGGGCAAGCGUUAUCCGGAUUUACUGGGUGUAAAGGGAGCGUAGACGGCAGUGCAAGUCUGGAGUGAAAGGCGGGGGCUCAACCCCCGGACUGCUCUGGAAACUGUACGGCUGGAGUGCAGGAGAGGUAAGUGGAAUUCCUAGUGUAGCGGUGAAAUGCGUAGAUAUCAGGAGGAACACCGGUGGCGAAGGCGGCCUGCUGGACGGCGACUGACGUUGAGGCCCGAAAGCGUGGGUAGCAAACAGGAUUAGAUACCCUUGUAGUC